GGUAGGGUGGCUGAAUAAUAGGUGGUAGACUGUAAAUCUACUUAUGAGAAAUUAUCUCUCCUACCA
rnacentral:tRNA from 2 species